GAUGAAGAACUUAGCGAAAUGCGAUAAGUAAUGCGAAUUGCAGAAUUCAGUGAGUCAUCGAAUCUUUGAACGCACAUUGCGCCCUGUGGUAUUCCGCAGGGCAUGCCUGUUCGAGCGUCAUUUCAACCCUCAAGCCCCGCUUGGUGUUGGGCCCCGCCCGCUGUGGCCGGCCCUAAAGACAGUGGCGGCGCCGCCUGGCCCUCAGCGUAGUACAUCUCUCGCUCCAGGGUCCGGUGGCCGCCUGCCAGAACCCCCCAACUCUGUGGUUGACCUCGGAUCAGGUAGGGAUACCCGCUGAACUUAAGCAUAUCAAUAAGCGGAGGA
rnacentral:misc_RNA from 1 species